rnacentral:rRNA from 1 species
AGAGUUUGAUCCUGGCUCAGAACGAACGCUGGCGGCGUGGAUUAGGCAUGCAAGUCGAGCGGGAUCUAUCGAAGCUUGCUUUGAUAGUGAGAGCGGCGAACGGGUGAGGAAUACAUGGGUAAUCUGCCUUUUAGUCUGGAAUAGCUUCGGGAAACUGGAGGUAAUGCCGGAUGUGGUCGAUUAUCAUAAGGUAAUCUGUCUAAAGCGGGGGAUCUUCGGACCUCGUGCUAAGAGAUGGGCCCAUGUCCUAUCAGCUAGUUGGUGAGGUAAUGGCUCACCAAGGCUAUGACGGGUAGCUGGUCUGAGAGGAUGGUCAGCCACACUGGGACUGAGACACUGCCCAGACUCCUACGGGAGGCUGCAGUCGAGAAUCAUUCACAAUGCACGAAAGUGUGAUGAUGCGACGCCGCGUGAAGGAUGAAGGCCCUAGGGUCGUAAACUUCUGUCAGAAGGAAAGAAUUGCACUUUAAUUAAUACUUGAGGUGUUUGACGGUACCUUCAGAGGAAGCCACGGCUAACUCUGUGCCAGCAGCCGCGGUAAUACAGAGGUGGCAAGCGUUGUUCGGAUUUACUGGGCGUAAAGGGUGCGUAGGCGGUUUUGUGUGUCAGAUGUGAAAGCCCAUGGCUCAACCAUGGAAUUGCAUUUGAAACUGCAGAACUUGAGUAUCGGAGAGGUAGAUGGAAUUCUAGGUGUAGCGGUGAAAUGCGUAGAUAUCUAGAAGAACACCAGCGGCGAAAGCGAUCUACUGGACGAAUACUGACGCUGAGGCACGAAAGCCAGGGGAGCGAAGAGGAUUAGAUACCCUCGUAGUCCUGGCCAUAAACGGUGUACACUUGGUGUGGGAGGUUUUAUCCCCUUCCGUGCCGGAGCCAACGUGUUAAGUGUACCGCCUGGGGAGUACGGCCGCAAGGCUAAAACUCAAAGGAAUUGACGGGGGCCCGCACAAGCGGUGGAGCAUGUGGUUUAAUUCGAAGCAACGCGGAGAACCUUACCAGCCCUUGACAUGGGU